ACGUCACAAACAACUGCGCGGGGUCGCUUAACAGCAUGCAAUGUCGAACGAUGGAUAGCCCUUCGGGGUGGAUUAUUGGCGAACGGGUGAUUAACACUUGGGCAAUCUGCCCUGCACUCUGGGACAAGCCCUGGAAACGGGGUCUAAUACCGGAUAUGACCGUCCAUCGCAUGGUGGAUGGUGUAAAGCUCCGGCGGUGCAGGAUGAGCCCGCGGCCUAUCAGCUAUUUGGUGAGGUAGUGGCUCACCAAGGCGACGAACGGGUAGCCGGCCUGAGAGGGCGACCGGCCACACUGGGACUGAGACACGGCCCAAACUCCUACGGGAGGCAGCAGUGGGGAAUAUUGCACAAUGGGCGAAAGCCUGAUGCAUCGACGCCGCGUGAGGGAUGACGGCCUUCGGGUUGUAAACCUCUUUCAGCAGGGAAGAAGCGAAAGUGAUGGUUCCUGCAGAAAAAAACCGGCUAACUACUUGCUACCAGCCGCGGUAGUACUUAG
rnacentral:rRNA from 1 species